rnacentral:rRNA from 1 species
GACGAACGCUAGCGGCGCGCCUAACACAUGCAAGUCGAACGGAGUCAAGAGGAGCUUGCUUUUCUUGACUUAGUGGCGAACGGGUGAGUAACGCGUGAGUAACCUGCCCUGGAGUGGGGGACAACAGUUGGAAACGACUGCUAAUACCGCAUAAGCCCACGGAUCCGCAUGGAUCUGCGGGAAAAGGAUUUAUUCGCUUCAGGAUGGACUCGCGUCCAAUUAGCUAGUUGGUGAGGUAACGGCCCACCAAGGCGACGAUUGGUAGCCGGACUGAGAGGUUGAACGGCCACAUUGGGACUGAGACACGGCCCAGACUCCUACGGGAGGCAGCAGUGGGGGAUAUUGCACAAUGGGGGAAACCCUGAUGCAGCGACGCCGCGUGGAGGAAGAAGGUUUUCGGAUUGUAAACUCCUGUCGUUAGGGACGAUAAUGACGGUACCUAACAAGAAAGCACCGGCUAACUACGUG